rnacentral:tRNA from 1 species
GCGGGCUUGCUCAAGGCGAGUUAAGAGGCUUCCAACCUCCCAAGGUCGGUUCAAUUCCGACAGUCCGCUCCA